rnacentral:rRNA from 1 species
UUAUCCGGAUUUAUUGGGUUUAAAGGGAGCGUAGGCGGAUUGUUAAGUCAGUUGUGAAAGUUUGCGGCUCAACCGUAAAAUUGCAGUUGAUACUGGCAGUCUUGAGUGCAGUAGAGGUGGGCGGAAUUCGUGGUGUAGCGGUGAAAUGCUUAGAUAUCACGAGGAACUCCGAUUGCGAAGGCAGCUCACUGGAGUGUAACUGACGCUGAUGCUCGAAAGUGUGGGUAUCAAACAGGAUUAGAUACCCUGGUAGUCCACACAGUAAACGAUGAAUACUCGCUGUUUGCGAUAUACAGUAAGCGGCCAAGCGAAAGCAUUAAGUAUUCCACCUGGGGAGUACGCCGGCAACGGUGAAACUCAA